rnacentral:lncRNA from 1 species
GCGCCGCCAGCAGGAAAUGUAGCUGCACUUGAAAUGCUGGUUUGAAGAAGGAUGCACAGCAUCACAGCUACGGCAAUCACUCUUUUCCCUCCUGACAUUUUUUUAAGAAUUAAUAUAUAAAAGAAAGGCUCUUAGUGUUAAUGUGCCAAUUGAGUAUGAUUUUAGACCCUUUUAUAGGGAACUUCUUGUACCAUUUGACUCACUAUUCAUUGGAUUUGGAAUAUUUACUGUUUUAC